GGCAAAUCUUACACGAAUGUUGUUGGGUUGAGCGUCAUUACACCAACAGUACAACAGUCAACCCCAGCUGCAAAACACCGUAAAAGAAUAGCUAAACGACCUACCGCCACUACAAGAGACCCAGAUGCAGAUGAGGACACAGGACCAACCACCAGCGCAGCCAGUCCCAAAAAAGUG